GGAUUAGGCAUGCAAGUCGCACGAGAAAGGUUUCUUCGGAAGCCGAGUACAGUGGCGAACGGGUGAGUAAUGCAUAGACAACUCGCCCUUGAGAUGGGGACAACGCCUCGAAAGGGGUGCUAAUACCCAAUGCCGCCUUGGGCCCGCGGGUCCAGGGUGAAAGGAGGCCUCUGAUUCAAGCUUCCGCUCAAGGAGAGGUUUAUGUCCUAUUAGCUAGUUGGCGGGGUAACGGCCCACCAAGGCUGCGAUGGGUAGCCGACCUGAGAGGGUGACCGGCCACAUUGGGACUGAGACACUGCCCAGACUCCUACGGGAGGCUGCAGUCGAGAAUCUUCCGCAAUGCGCGCAAGCGUGACGGAGCGACGCCGCGUGGGUGAUGAAGGCCUUCGGGUUGUAAAGCCCUGUCAGCUACUACGAAACACGGGCGAUGAACAAUCGUCCCGUCUGACUUAAGUAGCAGAGGAAGCACCGGCUAACUACGUGCCAGCAGCCGCGGUAAUACGUAGGGUGCAAACGUUGUUCGGAAUCACUGGGCAUAAAGGGCGCGUAGGCGGUCUGAUAAGUCAGGUGUGAAAUCCCUCGGCCUAACCGAGGAACUGCAUUUGAUACUGUCGGGCUAGAGUACAGGAGGGGAGAGUGGAAUUCCUGGUGGAGCGGUGAAAUGCGUAGAUAUCAGGAGGAACGCCGGCGGCGAAAGCGACUCUCUGGCCUGUUACUGACGCUGAGGCGCGAAAGCUAGGGGAGCAAACGGGAUUAGAUACCCCGGUAGUCCUGGCCCUAAACGAUGGGCACUAAGUAGAGGGGUUUU
rnacentral:rRNA from 1 species